rnacentral:tRNA from 1 species
ACCUGGGUGGCUCAGUUGAAUAAGCGUCUGACUUCGGCUCAGGUCAUGAUCUCACAGUUUGUGGGUUUGAGUCCUGCCUCAGGCU